rnacentral:rRNA from 1 species
CCCUUAGAUGUUCUGGGCCGCACGCGCGCUACACUGAUGCAUUCAACGAGUCUAAAACCUGCUCUGAUAGGGGUGGGUAAUCUUUUGAAUGUGCAUCGUGAUUGGGAUAGAUGAUUGCAAUUUUUCAUCUUCAACGAGGAAUGCCUAGUAAACGCAAGUCAUCAGCUUGCAUUGAUUACGUCCCUGCCCUUUGUACACACCGCCCGUCGCUGCUACCGAUUGGUUGAUCUGGUGAAUUAUUCGGACUGCCGGCUGAAGGGGUUUCCUCAUCUGCCAGCGGAAAGUCUUGUUAACCCUAUCAACUAGAGGAAGCAGAAGUCGUAACA